GGAGCCCUGACUAAGAAGCAGCAACAAGCAGGAGAAGAAGUCUGUGCUGUAAAGAACUGCCCCCAAGAAAUAUCACCAAGAAGGGCUCCACUAUCAGGAGGAACACACAGCAGGGGCUCAGCACUGCGACCUGGGGGAAACAAGAAAAGGUGAGGGGUCAGCUCUAACAUUUAGAGGCUGAGUCAGUCAGAAACACCUGCAGUGGAGAGAGGGGCUGCUGAUGGAUCACUCAUGAGAUCUCUCCAGCCUACAGAGCAGUGUCUGAGGUGUGACAUGAAAGCCAAAAUGCUCUCAGCUGCUGUGGAUCCAUCCUUGGUGCUGUACAAGGCCUCUGAAGGGUGCCUGUAAAUCUGUUUCCUUCAGCCUUCCUCAUGGAGAAGGGAAUGGUAUUGCUGGCGCUCAGAACACAAAGGGUCUGCUCAGGCUGUGUCCUGACAGCCCAGACAAGGCACUGCAUUUUAGACUUCAUUGCUUUUGCACUUCAUAUUUCUUAGAGAGUAUUUCAGGUGAUUUGAUGCCUCUUCUAGCUCUUGCCUGCAGGCCUUUUGCUAUCACCAACCCUAAGUUUGUGGAAAUAGCAUAGGACUGAAAAUAGUUAAAGCUUUAUGAGAGCAAAAGGCUUUCCUGUAUUUCAGCAGGGUGUAAAGAAAAAUCUUCUGUGCAAUGUCAAGGAUUUCAGAAUUUGGUAUAAACCCAAAAGUUGUUUUACCAGGAGAAACACUAAAGAAAUCUGCAGGAUGAGUUUCUGACAGAAGAACAUUCAGGUUUUAUAUUAUUUUGACAGUGAGAACUGAAGGCUAUGCAAUAGGGAGCCAUUUUUCAUCAGCAAGAGUAAGCUUAAUUUAAAAUUGUGUUCAUAAAUGUCAUAGUUUCAAUCUUAAAGAAUGCCUGUCAAAAUGCAUAGCAAAGUUAAUUAUAAGGAAAUCACUGUACUACAAAUUAUAGUUUCUAUUAUUAUAAAUUUCUCAAUAAUUUCGGAUUGCAUAGAGGUAUGUGAGAAUCAACAAGUUUAUUAUAAAAAUAGUUUACAAGGAAAAACCCAUCAAAGACUGACUUUGAGGACAAUCAAGUGGAUAUAAUGUAAAAUGCUGUAGAAGAACACAUAGUGACAGUGUGUAUAUAUUGUGCUAUAAGGUUGUCAUCAGUUUUGUCUCAAGUUCUUUCUGUCUGUCCCAUUUUUCCUUCAAUCAUGUGCAAGAAUGUUUUUUUUCAUUGUCAUGACAGUAAGAGUGAGCCUCAUUGCAUUAAUACCAUCAUCUGAGCUGUAAAUGCACAACAAACCAUAGGAGUCAGUGUAAAACUGAGCUUUAAGCAAGUUUUAUGGGUUUAUUGGGAAUUUCUGGAGCAAUAUUAUUGAAGUAUCUGCUGCAGUAGGUCUUCUGCAGUAAGACCAUAUUGAGGGAGGGGAAGCACAUUGUCCUGAUCGCUGAGAUGUGAUCCACCUGUCUUGUGCUAAAACUCAGAGGAUCUUUGGACUUUCAGACACUGUAAUGGGGUAGUAUUAAAUUGCUGCUGGUAGUAAAAGAUAA